GUGGGGAAUAUUGCGCAAUGGGCGAAAGCCUGACGCAGCCACGCCGCGUGAGUGAUGAAGGCCUUCGGGUUGUAAAGCUCUGUCGGAGGGAAAGAAGGGGUAACCCUGACGGUACCUUCCAAGAAAGCACCGGCUAACUCUGUGCCAGCAGCCGCGGUAAUACAGAGGGUGCAAGCGUUGCUCGGAUUUACUGGGCGUAAAGCGUGCGCAGACGGCGAGGCAGGUCGGAUGUGAAAGCCCCGGGCUCAACCCGGGAAAUGCAUUCGAAACCAUCUUGCUCGAGUGUGGAAGAGGAGAGCAGAAUUCCCGGUGUAGAGGUGAAAUUCGUAGAUAUCGGGAGGAAUACCAGCGGCGAAGGCGGCUCUCUGGUCCAUUACUGACGUUCAGGCACGAAAGCGUGGGUAGCAAACAGGAUUAGAUACCCCAGUAGUCC
rnacentral:rRNA from 1 species